AAAACUUUUCAGCUAGAGUAUGAUAGAGGAAAGCAGAAUUUCUAGUGUAGAGGUGAAAUUCGUAGAUAUUAGAAAGAAUACCAAUUGCGAAGGCAGCUUUCUGGAUCAUUACUGACACUGAGGAACGAAAGCAUGGGUAGCGAAGAGGAUUAGAUACCCUCGUAGUCCAUGCCGUAAACGAUGUGUGUUAGACGUUGGAAAUUUAUUUUCAGUGUCGCAGGGAAACCGAUAAACACACCGCCUGGGGAGUACGACCGCAAGGUUAAAACUCAAAUGAAUUGACGGGGACCCGCACAAGUAGUGGAGCAUGUGGUUUAAUUCGAAGAUACGCGCAGAACCUUACCAACACUUGACAUGUUCGUCGCGACUCUAAGAGAUUAGAGUUUUCGGUUCGGCCGGACGAAACACAGGUGCUGCAUGGCUGUCGUCAGCUCGUGUCGUGAGAUGUUGGAUUAAGUCCCGCAACGAGCGCAACCCUCACUUUUAGUUGCCAUCAUUAAGUUGGGCACUCUGAAAGAACUGCCAGUGAUAAGCUGGAGGAAGGUGGGGAUGACGUCAAGUCCUCAUGGCCCUUACGUGUUGGGCUACACACGUGCUACAAUGGUAUCUACAACAGGAAGCAAGACUGCGAAGUUAAGCAAAUCCCUAAAAGAUACCUCAGUUCGGAUUGCACUCUGCAACUCGAGUGCAUGAAGCUGGAAUUACUAGUAAUCGUGGAUCAGCGUGCCACGGUGAAUGCGUUCCCGGGUCUUGUACACACCGCCCGUCACACCAUGGGAGUUGGUUCUACCUUAAGGCAAGGUUUAAAACCCUUGACCACGGUAUAGUCAGCGACUGGGGUGAAGUCGUAACAAGGUAACCGUA
rnacentral:rRNA from 1 species